GACAGAGGUGCCGAGCGUUAGGCGGAAUCACUGGGCUUAAAGCGUGUGUAGGCGGCUCUGUAAGUACCUUGUGAAAUCCCACGGCUCAACCGUGGAACUGCUCGGUAUACUGCGGAUCUUGAGCCACCUAGGGGCAACCGGAACAAAUGGUGGAGCGGUGAAAUGCGUAGAUAUCAUUUGGAACGCCAAUGGUGAAAACAGGUUGCUGGGGGUGUGCUGACGCUGAGACACGAAAGCCAGGGGAGCGAACGGG
rnacentral:rRNA from 1 species